UCAAGCGUUUAAGGGCGUGUAGUGGAUGCCUUGGCACUGAAAGCCGAUGAAGGACGUGAUAUACUGCGAUAAGUUUCGGGGAGCUGUAUGUAAGUUUUGAUCCGAAAAUUUCCGAAUGGGGAAACCCACCACUUUAUGUGGUACUUUAAACUGAAUACAUAGGUUUAAAGAGACAACCUGGAGAACUGAAACAUCUAAGUAACCAGAGGAAAAGAAAUCAAUUGAGAUUCCGUUAGUAGUGGCGAGCGAACGCGGACUAGGCCAGUAGUUUUGUUAAAAAAAUUUGAAUAGUUUGGAAAUGCUAACCAUAGAGGGUGAUAGUCCCGUAUGAGUAAUGUUUAACAAAAUUCUUGAGUAAAGCGGGACACGUGAAAUCCUGCUCGAAUAUAGGGGGACCACCCUCUAAGCCUAAAUACUCUUCAGUGACCGAUAGUGAACUAGUACCGUGAGGGAAAGGUGAAAAGAACCCCUAUUAGGGGAGUGAAAUAGAACCUGAAACCGCAUGCCUACAAUCAGUCGAAGCUCUUUUUAGAGUGACGGCGUACCUUUUGUAUAAUGGGUCAGUGACUUAAUUUAUUAAGCAAGCUUAAGCCAUCUAGGUGUAGGCGCAGCGAAAGCAAGUCUUAAUAGGGCGAUUAGUUUAAUGAAUUAGACCCGAAAACGAAUGAGCUUACCAUGAGCAGGUUGAAAGCAGGGUAACACUUGCCGGAGGACCGAACCAGUUGACGUUGAAAAGUCUUUGGAUGACUUGUGGUAAGGGGUGAAAGGCCAACCAAAUUCGUAGAUAGCUGGUUUUCCGCGAAAACUAUUUAGGUAGUGCGUUGAAUAAAUAGACAUUUAGAGGUAGAGCACUAAAUGGGCUAGGGGGAAGAGAUUCUUACCAAACCUAAUAAAACUCCGAAUGCUAAAUGUUGUUCUUCAGCAGACAGACUGUGGGUGCUAAGGUCCAUGGUCGAGAGGGAAAGAGCCCAGACCACCAGAUAAGGUCCCAAAAUUGUGAUUAAGUGUGAAAGGAUGUGGAAAUUCCUUAACAGCCGGGAGGUUGGCUUAGAAGCAGCCAUCCUUUAAAGAUAGCGUAACAGCUCACCGGUCUAAUAGAGUUUCUGCGCCGAAGAUGUAACGGGGCUAAAAUCAUAUACCGAAUCUGUGGAUUUAUAAUUUUUUCGAAAAUUAUAACUGGUAGCGGAACGUUCUGUAAGCCUGUGAAGGGAUACCCGUGAGGGAUCCUGGAGGUAUCAGAAGUGCGAAUGCUGACAUAAGUAACGAUAAAAGAAGUGAAAAACUUCUUCGCCGAAAAUCCAAGGGUUUCUGCGCAAGGUUAAUCCGCGCAGAGUUAGUCGGCACCUAAGGCGAGGGCGAAAGCCGUAGUCGAUGGAAAUAAGGUUAAUAUUCCUUAACCAGAUGGAAGUGACGGAUUUUGUAAGUUGUGAGUUCUUAAUGGAUUGAACUUGCUGCGAAAAAGUCCCAGGAAAUAGCUCCAUCAUUAGACCGUACCCUAAACCGACACAGGUGGAUUAAUAGAGUAUAUUUAGGCGCUUGAGAGAAUGAUGUUGAAGGAACUCGGCAAAAUGCUUCUGUAACUUCGGAAUAAAGAAGACCUUUUAGUGGGCAACCAUUAGAGGGUGGCACAAGCCAGGGAGAAGCGACUGUUUAUCAAAAACACAGGGCUCUGCUAACACGUAAGUGGAUGUAUAGGGUCUGACGCCUGCCCGGUGCUGGAAGGUUAAUGCGAUGGGUGCAAGCUCAUUUCUGAAGCCCCAGUAAACGGCGGCCGUAACUAUAACGGUCCUAAGGUAGCGAAAUUCCUUGUCGGGU
rnacentral:rRNA from 1 species